CCUGUCUUGGUGCUCAUUGGUUCCACCUGACUUCGAGCUGGCCAAUCAUCAGUCGGGGCCCUCAAUAAAAGGAGCACACCUGAGUUCACACUUCCUUUCUGUGUCUCUGCCUGCCUGAGCUGCUGUUGUGCUGUUUUGAAAGCUUGUGAAGAAUACUAUAAGAAAGAUGACACUACCCACGGCUGCUGCUGUUGAAAAUGGAGGGGGAGUAAACAGACAGAGGCACCAGACAGGACAGUGCCGGGUUGUUCUCCCAUCAACUCUGGGGGCUCAGAGAUGAGAAACAUGCAACGGUGGAGCUCCUUGGAGAGAGAGCAGGGAGGUGACAGGGUGUCAGGGUGCUGUCACUACCCAGGAUCAGGAUUCUUUGCAGCAGAGACAGGAAAGUGGUUUGCGGAGGUCAAAGAGCCACCAUGAGCUGUUAUACCUUUGAGGAGAAAAAUGUAUGCUUAGAUUUUUCAGCCUCAGCUUUUUGCAACUUUUAUAUGCUGAUUUCCCUCCCUUCUCUUUAUCAUUCUCAUAAUUCAUCAUUGCCUUGUCCUUUUUGGCAGCAAGUCAAUGUAAUUGGCAGUGGGCCUCAGUUUGAUGAGGCUGUGACCUGUUAGUCCCUGAUGUCCAGAUUCUUUCCAGCAAACAAAGAACAUGUUUAAAAUAAUAUAAUGCAACAUUUUCAUCUUGAUAAAUGCCAUUUAAAAUGUUCUACUCUUGACUGAGAUUACAUUUGAAAGGUCCUACAUUGGUUUUCUAAAUCCCUGUAAAAUGCAUAGUCUGUCCCAGGAAACUGUUAAGGCACGCAUGAAGACAUUUGUUCUACAUUUUAUUGUGUGUUAGGGACCUAUCAUGCCAGUUUUUAGUACAGCAGGGAUCCUGGCUGCCCUUCCACACCCAGCCCACCUCCAGUACCACAUAAGCACCCUAAUUGUCACGCCACUUCCCAUUACACAUGUCAUUCCUCAUGCCACGCUCCCAUGCCCAUGUGCCUGACCAGCUGCUCAGAAGGGGUUGGAAAGGACAGGGCAAGGUGUCACUGUUUCCAUGUAUCGAUGUCAUUUGAACUUUGAUGAUAAAUCAGUUUUGGGCAAAGUUUUUACGGCCAAACAAAAAUAAUUCUGUACAAAAUUUGUAAAUAAUAAUACAGUAUAAUUUAGUAUACAGUAGCCUAUAAGUCUCUGUCUUCUAGUCAAGCAAUGAUUUAUCUUACCAAAUAUAUUUUUUAGUAUUAUAACAGUUUUUAUUUCAUGUUUGUGUUUUAGUUGUGUAAUGGUAGGUGUCUUUUUUAAAUGUUGGGAGUUCUCAUUAUGAAUACACCUUCACAAAGAUCACAUUUCCCCCAGGUUUCUCACAGAGGAAAAAUAUAAUCACUGUCAGUCCUCAGCUGCUGGGAAAAAAAGCAGUGUUAAGUACAUGAGGAAUACAUUUGAACAGCUUGA